rnacentral:rRNA from 1 species
CGCCGCGGUUAUACGGGGGGCCCAAGAUGACAAACAUCGGCGUAAAGCGUGGUUAGGGGUAACCCUUACACUAAAGUCAAACACCCCUCCUGCUGUUAUACGCAUCCGGGGGUAGGAAGCUCCACCACGAAAGUGACUUUAACAUCUCUCCCGAACCCACCACAGCUAGGGAA